CGGCCGCGUCGACGUUUGAUCUUGGCUCAGGACGAACGCUGGCGGCGUGCCUAAUACAUGCAAGUCGAGCGCAUGAACCUGGCGGACCUCUUCGGAGGGAAACCGGGGGGAUUGAGCGGCGGACGGGUGAGUAACACGUGGGCAACCUGCCCUUCAGACGGGGAUAACUCCGGGAAACCGGAGCUAAUACCCGAUAAUCAAGCCGAUCUCCUGAUCGGCUUGUAAAAGCAUGGUCUUCGGACCAUGCACUGGGGGAUGGGCCCGCGGCGUAUUAGCUAGUUGGAGAGGUAAUGGCUCCCCAAGGCGACGAUACGUAGCCGACCUGAGAGGGUGAUCGGCCACACUGGGACUGAGACACGGCCCAGACUCCUACGGGAGGCAGCAGUAGGGAAUCAUCCGCAAUGGACGAAAGUCUGACGGUGCAACGCCGCGUGAGUGAUGAAGGUUUUCGGAUCGUAAAGCUCUGUUGUGAGGAAGAACAAGGGCGGUUCUAACGAGGCCGCCCCUGACGGUACCUCACCAGAAACGCCCCGGCUAACUACGUGCCAGCCG
rnacentral:rRNA from 1 species